ACUGACUCUGUGUGUUUGCAUAUGUGUCCUGCCUCUCUGCUCCCAGCCGUUAAGAGGCCAGUGUUGAUCAGUGGCUGUCCAGGCCUUUCACAGCCACUGACACGCCGGCAGCACAAUGAUGAUGUCACUGACUCUACUGCUGGCCACCCUGGGGCUCCUUGUUCAGGGUUCAUCAGGAGAAAUCAUCCUGACUCAGUCUCCUGGAUCUCAGUCUGUUCUUCCAGGACAGUCUGUCUCCAUCACAUGUAGAUCCAGUUUAAGUAUCAGUAACGACCUCCACUGGUACCUUCAGAAACCCGGAGAAGCUCCUAAACUUUUUGUUUAUUAUGCUACAAACCGUCAGUCUGGAGUUUCUGAUCGUUUCAGUGGAAGUUAUUCUGGAUCUGUCUUUACUUUGACCAUCAGUAGAGUUCAGACUGAAGAUUCAGGAGUUUAUUAUUGUCAGCAGAGUAACAGCUUCCCGUUCACACAGUGAAAAACCGUCGUACAAAAACCUCCCUCAGCUGAAGAGGAACUGAUCAACAGCUGCACUGAAACCAAACCAACAGAGGUUUGACAAAUACAAAUAUGAAUCAUGAAAUGACACAAAUGCUGAUGAUAUUUUAAUUUAAAUCACGAUCAUAUUAAGUCUAGUUUAAGACAUAGCUUUUUUAGAUCUAUUUUUUGUUCUUCACCACAAGUGAAGUAAUUGUAGUGAGAUAACCCAAUGUGCAAUAUGCUACUGUUUACAUUUAGAUUUCUUUUUGAUUUUUUCUUACUUUUACCAAGUGUUUAUGUUUAAAAGAAUGAUAGCUCUGCUAUUUAGAACAUGGACCUUUUAUUUAUGUUUUCAUUUUAAAAAAGACUGACUCAGGAGCACAAUCAUUUCACUUCACGUAUACUUGUUGUAUGUGUACGUGUACAAAGGACCAGAUACCGGUACUGCUGAUGGGUGGAGGAUCUUCUACAGCCCUGUCCAGCUCUCUUAGAGUAACUGUCUGUCUCCUGGAAUCUCCUCCAUGCUCUUGAGACUGUGCUGGGACACAUCAAACCUUCAGAAAACUUUCACACUGACUCUUGUUUCUCUCUUGCUUUGCUGAAAAAAAAAAAAAAACUUGAAUUCAAUUUGAAUUUAUCAUCUUUCACAUCACUUUCACAUCCCACGUUUUCCAAUAAAACUGCUUUUGAUGCAAAUGUCUGAUGUUUAAAAAUAAUGUGCUACAGUCGCAGGACAGUUGGAGACAGGUGCAGCCAGCUGCUCAGGAACAGAAAGGUGGGUUGGACGGGCAGCACUGUGAAGGUCCAGGUAUGGGCGUUGUGGGGACAAGAACAGAGGCGGAUGGCCGCCCUCAUGACAGGAACAUGAGCAGGGACAGGGGCUGGAGCGGUGGUCACUCUCGUGGUGGAGACAGGUGCCGGUGGCCAGCUAGCUGAGGACAUGCGACUAGGUGAUAGGCAGACCAGCCCGUCUGCAGCAGC